rnacentral:lncRNA from 1 species
GUCUACUGGCUGAUGGCUAAAAUACUAGUAAAAAGAGAAGGCAUUUCAAUCUGUAAUCAGUGCUAAAAUGUAUGAAAGUAAACAACUGGUUGAGAGGAAGCAUUGGAAUUCAUUUCCCUAAAGUAUAAUCAGUCAACAAAUAUUAGGUGGUGAUAGGAAAGUUUUUCCUAAAUAGAGGGGAAGAAAGUGAUGGGGAUGGUGCCUGGAAAGCAGAAGAGGCUGCUCCUGACUCACUCUAGUCUGUGUGUGGACUGACAAAGGCCUCUCUCACUUCUGCGUCCUCUCAUGCCUAAGGCAGGGAAGACGCCAAGAGGAGCCCUGAGGUGUGCUGUUGAAGCAAGAAGCCUCCCUGUAUAUUUGGCCCAUGGAAAUCAAUUUCUUUGCUCGACAGUGCUAGGGUGGCCGCCUCGUUUUGGAUGUUGCAACAACUGGGUUUUCCUCUCUGGCUCUGUUAUAUAGACACUGGACUGCACGGGAGAAACAGCUAUUGAAGUGAAAACUGCUUUGAAAGGCAAAACUCCUGAGGUCAGAUCUGUCUCUCUGACUGAAGGGAAGGAAAUGAACGGAACCCCUUGAAGCAAAGUUGUGUAUUUCCAUUCAGAAGAGGAACAUUCUACCUCUCUCUUGUGGUGAGUGACAUCCCAUCAGCUGGAAAGGCUCUCAUUCCCGGGGCUAAGAAAUAAGGAAUCUGGUGCUCAGUGAUGUUGUACAUACAAAACAAAACAAAUCUACAGUGGGAUUUAAAGCAGUGUUUACAAUUAACCAAAGGACGCAGCGCUUGCUAGAUUUGGAUUUGUGGGAAGGUCUCUUGGGGCACUGCCCCUGUUUCACUGUCCAGAGUGAAACGAAUAUUCCCCCCUUCAAAAUGGGACUCCUAGGAAUACCAUCAGGGAGCCAUCCUCUCUCAGUACCUUCCUGGCAUCUCCCUAAACCGUCCUGAAUCCACAUCUUUUCUUUACUUUCUGUUUAUUAAAUCCUCAAAGAGGAUCAGAUGCCACCUGAGAGUGUGAACUCUGUUUGUAGGAAGGUAUUUCUUGCCAGGCAACACUUAAAAAGGCAGCAUGAUGUGAGAAAAAAAAGCAGUAAUCUGGGUGUCAGAAGACCUGGAAUUUUUCUUUGCUAUUAACUGUGCUACCCUGUAUAUAAGGGUAAUUGCCUUCUCUACCUUCCAUCCCCACUCAAUCCCUCCAUCUCCUCAGGUCUGUUUCUUUGUAAAUAGGCUUCAUCUACCUGAUGCCCUCCUUCUCUAAAGCUCUGAGUAUAUAACUGUGGAAAACUUCUCCCACCAAAGGAGUUUCAUCAGACCCCAAUGCAAAGUUUCUAGUUGUGGGGGGAGAUGUCUUCUGGUACAUUUAUCGAGCACCUCCUAUCACCAGGUGCAAGCCACUGUGCAAGGCACCCUUUACAUGUGCCACUGAAUCCUUGAUGAUGAUGAUGACCACAAGCACAUAGCUCUUACUCUGAGGCAGACACUGGUCUAAUCA